rnacentral:tRNA from 1 species
GGUUGUAGCUCAGUGGUAGAGCGGUUGCCUCACACAUGUGAGACCCUGGGUUUGAUCCCCAGAAUCA